GAUCGUGGUGUCUGUUUCUAAGAUCUGGAGACAGGUCCCUAGGGUUCCCUGUGCUCAUGUGUAACAGACUCACGUGGGGUGCCUGCAAAGAUGCGUUCAUGGGAACAUCAGGCCCUGUUGUUCCCAGAAUCAUCUGCAAGGUGUAGCACAAGAAAAAGGAGACAAGCUUGUCCCCGUGGGAAGCACCGCUGACUCCUGUCUCCUGGCCUCCUGCCACUCCCAGAUCUGGGGCAGACGACUGUUGGACUUCCCUGCUCCUGAGCCCAGCAAGACAGUGAGCAGACCUCCACCUGUGAGCAGGGGAGCUAGGCUGGUCCUGGAUUCCCUGGGCUCAGGCUUGGUAUGGAAAUGACACAGAAAUGUUCCAACAUGUCCACAUGACCACAGCCUUCUCUACCUCUGGGUCUCUA